UACCUGGUCUGGCGCAUACGGCCAGGCGACAGGCCGCCAUGGCAAAGAUGAGGAAGGGCAGAUUUAAGGCGGCGAUGUGAGGACGGGGAAUUGCACUAUGUUAGAGAGAGUCCAAAAAGUGAGUUGCAGAGGAGCGCUGGGAAACAUGCGACAGAGGACCAACACUCUUGAGACGGCGCCGAACACAGAUGAGUUGCCGCUCUACGGGGAGUAUAGGGAGCAGCUGGGAAACUUUGCCCGGCGGGAGGCAGCCCGUUUGCUGACAGAGCGACAAUGGCAAAGACAGGCAGAAGAGAACAACGCGGUGGGGGGCAAAGGGGCAGGACGACGGCAUCAGCAUCCCGUCAUCUUGGAGUCCCACCUCAGUCACAGCUCCUCCACCAAGAAGCCACGCCCCUACUCCAAAUGUCAAGAUUGCUUGGUUCGUGUGCAGCGCUACAUCGUGAACAAGAUAGGGGAAGACUGGAUUUUCCUGGUCCUCCUUGGCCUGACCAUGGCGCUGGUCAGCUGGAGUAUGGACUACGCCAGCGCCAAGAGCCUGCAAGCCUACAAGUGGAUGCAUGGGGAGCUGAAGGGCAAUGUGGCGCUCCAGUACCUCGCCUGGAUUAGCUACCCCAUGAUCCUCGUCAUGUUCGCCUCCCUCUUCUGUCACCUGGUUUCCCCGCAGGCCAUCGGUUCCGGAAUCCCGGAGCUUAAAACCAUCCUGAGGGGCGUAGUUCUUAAGGAGUAUCUGACCCUGAAGGCCUUUGUGGCUAAAGUCAUCGGCUUGACGGCGGGUUUGGGCAGUGGGAUGCCAGUGGGCAAAGAGGGUCCAUUCGUCCACAUCGCCAGUAUCUGUGCUGCAGUGCUGAGUCGCUUCAUGUCCAUCUUCUCUGGCGUCUAUGAGAACCCUUACGGUUACACAGAUAUUCUGACUGUUGGCUGUGCUGUCGGGGUGGGAUGCUGUUUCGGCACUCCACUAGGAGGGGUGUUGUUCAGUAUUGAGGUCACGUCUACCUACUUUGCAGUGAGGAAUUACUGGCGGGGAUAUUUUGCCGCCACAUUCAGCGCCUUCAUAUUCAGGGUGCUCUCUGUGUGGAACAAAGAUGCUGUCACAAUCACUGCUCUCUUCAAAACCAACUUCCGCAAGGAUUUCCCCUUUGACCUCCAGGAGCUGCCGGCGUUCGCAAUCAUCGGAAUCUCGUGCGGCUUUCUGGGGGCCUUCUUUGUCUACUUGAACCGACAGGUGGUUCUCUUCAUGAGAAGACCCACGGCGCUCACGCGCUUUCUGACGAAGCAUCGGUUGAUCUAUCCAGGCGCAGUCACGUUGAUCAUCGCCACCUUCACGUUCCCUCCUGGAUUCGGACAGUUUAUGGCUGGCGAGCUCAUGCCCAGAGAGUGCAUCAACUCCUUGUUCGACAACUUCACCUGGACCAAAAUCUCAACAGCCGCCCCUCCGCCCGGCCUGGGCCGCUCGGCCGUGUGGCUUCACCCUCAGGUCAGCGUCUUCGUCAUCCUCCUCCUCUUUCUCGUCAUGAAGUUUUGGAUGUCAGCGGUUUCCACCACCAUGCCCAUCCCCUCGGGUGCCUUCAUGCCAGUGUUCAUAUUAGGAGCUGCUUUUGGUCGCCUGGUAGGGGAGAUCAUGGCCACUCUCUUCCCAAAUGGAAUCCUGUUUGACGGGAUUGUGUAUCGAAUCCUGCCGGGAGGCUACGCCGUCAUCGGCGCGGCCGCCAUGACGGGAGCGGUGACUCACACAGUUUCCACGGCGGUGAUCUGCUUCGAGCUGACGGGUCAGAUCUCCCACAUCCUGCCCAUGAUGGUGGCAGUCAUCCUGGCCAAUAUGGUGGCCCAGGGUCUGCAGCCUUCGCUCUACGACUCCAUCAUCCAGGUGAAGAAGCUGCCGUACUUGCCUGAGCUGGCCCUCGGGCACAUCAGCAAGUACAACAUCUUCGUGGAGGACAUCAUGGUGCGCAAGGUCAAGUUCUUGUCGUCUCACACCACCUAUCGGGAACUGAAUGAUCUGCUGGAUACGACGGCGCUAAAAACCAUCCCCCUCGUUGACACCAAAGAAUCCAUGAUUCUUCUGGGCUCCAUCGAGAGGAUGGAGCUCCAAGCCGCCAUCGACUGGUGGCUCUCGCCAGCCAGGCGGGUCUUUGAGACAGCUCAGAGUUCACCGGGCCAAUUUUCCAAACUCAGCUGGGAGUCGUUUAGCUUCGUGGACGAGGAAGGCGCUAACGACGGCGUGGACAAGACUGCGCCGGUGAUGGACGAAUGCAAUGGGCCCGUCCCAUCGCCUAAAACUCAGGAGCCUUCCAGCAAUCACACAAGCACAGACAAGCGCAAAACGCCUUCUGUCCGAAAGACCUUCCAGAGACUCUUCUCCUCGUCGUCGUCGUCGACCGGACAGACCGACGUACAGGAAACAGCUCCCCCUACAUUAGCUGACACCAUGUCACCAGAGGAGAUCAAAGCCUGGGAGGAGGCCCAGAUGGACAAGCCAAUGGAUAUGGAGCAGAUUCGCAUCGACCCCUCCCCUUUCCAGUUGGUGGAAAGAACGUCUUUGCACAAGACCCACACUCUGUUCUCUCUGCUGGGUCUGAGUCACGCCUACGUCACCAGUAUUGGCAAGCUGGUGGGUGUGGUUGCACUCAAAGAGUUACAGAAAGCCAUCGAGGGCUCGACUCGGAGCGGCGUGAGGCUCCGCCCACCGUUGGCCAGCUUCCGGGACGCCAGCAGAAAAAGCAAGCACCAGUCUCCUUCCUCCAACCCUGCCUCACCCACGUGGGACCGGAACCUUUGGGGUGAAGGCAGCAGGAGGGACGGGGAGCCGGCGAGGGAGGACAAUCCCCGAGGGAUGCCCACCCGCAACGCCCCGUCCUCGCCCAGCGGAGGCGACUCGGGCAGCACGCGCGAGCCGGCGUCCCCGUCUACCUCCUCGCCCACCGACUCGCCGGGCUCACCCGGCGGGCCCGUCCUCACGCUGUCCUCCUUGCACAAGGAGCAGGAGAGCGAGGAGUCAGACGAGCCCAUCUAGGAAGGAGUCAGGUCACAAACUUUGCGCUCUCAGCGGGCCAACUUUUUCUACUUUUUUCCCCCCCCAUUCUUCAAAUUUCAGGUGCCUUCCUGUGUCUUUCACAAACUCUUUUGACAAUCUGUCCUACACGACGUCGAUUUCGUAUACUCACCAAGAAGCUCCUUGAAAGACUGGCAGUGCUUAAUGACGACCAUGAAAUAUGUUGAGAUAGACUUCUUAAUAACUUUGACCUCAAGGAGGAUUUACUGUUUACUGAUGAAGGUUAAUUUAAUUGUACAAUUUAUGAUUAUAUAAUCGCUGUAAAAUCACCCGUAAAGGUCUGUCAUUUUUAAAAAUAAUAAAUGGCGGAAAUUAUGAAGAAUUUCUUUUUUAACUAUUCAUUCACACUUUAACAGUCUACUCAAUAUUGACGCUUAUCCACUUAAAAAAAAUUGUCAAUAAGGUUGAUGAUUAUUGGCGAUGUUAACCGCUUGUCACUGGUUGAACGAUUCAAUUUGUCAUCGUUGGGUUUUGACGAGAAAUGUUCAGAAUUGGCCAAAAUAAACACGCAUGCUAAUGUUAGCUAAUGCCAGUAGCACAAUGGGCCAUAGUAUCAUCAUCAACAUCCCAAUUUGAAGAAAAGCAGAGCUGGCUGACGAGAGACAAAUGCACAUAUGCACGAGACGUUUUGCUUUGUCUGUUUAUUUGCUCCACAGGAGGAGACGAGAGAAGGAGUCGGAGUGAUGUGAGGAGGUCCGCCCGUGCAGGAGUGACGAGGAGGAGGAGGAUGGCAAACAAACAAAAGCAUAAAGACAAUAACGAAAUGGAGCCCAGAAGCAAGAACGCCAGCGGCGAGUGUUCAUUCCCCACCACCUCCUCUCCGCCAGGAACGCAGAGGCCCGGUUCCACCGCAGCCGCCGUACCCAUGUAGCCUCCAGCCUCCACCUGAUAGGCUUCCAUCUGGCCCGUGUUCCACAGAUCCACCAGGGGCGGGUGCACUUGGUGGAUCAGGCUGUGGAUGGUGCUGUUUGGGGUGGCUUGCAAGGAGUGGUUGGCGCUGUGCAGCCGAUGUUCCAGUGACUAGCAAAGCAGAGCGUGGAGAUCAGAACGUUACGGAGAAAGAGCUGAAGUGAGGGGCCGUCUGCCCGUCGUAACCCUCGCUCCCCACGAGGUAGGAGCCGGCGGGGGGAGACGCCACGCCGGACGGGUCAUUGUUGAUGGGCUCCCAAGCGUCCGAGGAGGAGAGGCAGUAGUGUCCCUGGGAGACAUGCGCCACGCUGCCCUGGUUUGAUCCCGAGCGAGGGCUCUCGCCAUCCAUCGACGACCAGGCCAUGAGGGUCGCCUCGGAGAUGGCGAAUUGCUGUAGGAUGCCUGAAGUCAAGACAGCAAAAGACAAGUUUAAUUGGCUGAAGAAAUGACACGAAGAAGACGAGAGGAGCGCUUGACGGCUGCCACCGAGGACAAAGACGAUAAGGCGGGAUUUCUCUUUUAUCAGAUGGACACCAAGUGGAGCAGGACAAGCGGGUGGCUCUCGCCGCUGCCGAAAAGUAGAUUAGCGCACUCCGUUUCAAGUCAAAUGCCAAUCAAGUAAGUGGCAACUUUUUUUUUGGUCCAACAUUUACCUUGUGUGUCCAUUCAGAUUCAAAAGUGAACAAACUCAUUAGAAAUCAGUGGUGACAAGGUCAAGGUCGCUGUUGGAAUACUUCACAAAAGCCAAUUUGGCUAUUUUUGUGGUCUUUGUACAUUAAUGAACACGGCGAUGAAAGGAAGUUAUGAGCCUGAGCCAAAUUACAUCCC